rnacentral:rRNA from 1 species
UACAGAGGUCUCAAGCGUUGUUCGGAUUCAUUGGGCGUAAAGGGUGCGUAGGCGGCGCGGUAAGGCGGGUGUGAAAUCUCGGAGCUUAACUCCGAAACUGCAUUCGAUACUGCCGUGCUUGAGGACUGGAGAGGAGACUGGAAUUUACGGUGUAGCGGUGAAAUGCGUAGAUAUCGUAAGGAAGACCAGUGGCGAAGGCGGGUCUCUGGACAGUUCCUGACGCUGAGGCACGAAGGUCAGGGGAGCAAACGGG